AAAUAAAAUUAAUCCUCCAGGCUUUAAUAAUCGAUACAAGUUUUCUAUAGCUUGUUGCCAUUGAUCGGGGGACAAUGCUGAAAAACAGAAAAUGAGUGUAAUCGCAUCAAUAGACGCUUCUUCAAUGGAUCUUAGUAAGUCUGAUCCUGCCAGAUCCCAAACCGAAGCACUGCAAAACUUGGCAUCGUAUAAUGGGUUCUGUUUAACAACAUCAAUGGCCUUUUCUGAAUAAUCAACAGCAAAUAUUUUAAGAUUUGAGUUUUUGUUUUCCUUCAAAAUUGGCCAGAUAGUGUUUCCAGCACCGCAUCCAAUUUCUAAAAUUGAUUUUUCUCCUGCAUCUUCUUUUAGCAAGUCAAGAAGCUCUGGGAACUCUUGCGCAAUCCAUCUUCUAUUCAUGAAAAAUUUUCCUUCGUUUUUUCCAUAAAAUUGGUCCCAGUACCUUUCAGGAUGUGUCAUAUAAGCAUCCUUUUCGGUUACAGGAUAUAGUUUUUGUUCCUCUAUACAUUUUUUGGCCAAUGCUAAAUGCUCAUCAUCCCAUUCUACAUGAUCCCUGAACAAUUAAAGUAAAUUAGUACUAUGCAAUUCAUAUGAACUUGUUUAGUAUUACCACGCAUUUUGCUCGAAAACAUCUUCUUCUUCUGUGAGCAGACGACCCCCAAAUGAUUCAUUAAUUGAAAAAGUUGCUUCUCUUACAGAAGAAGUUUUUUUCUUCUCAGAAUUAUCUGGUGUUGUAUCCAUCUAUGACCAAUAAUUCUUUAAUUCCACUUGCAGUGGUUUCUACUAGGUACUGGUUGUUGAUGAAAACGUUUCAUAUGCAAAUGAUGUGAGGAUUAAAUGUAAAACAGAAUGCCAAAGUUAAUCAAACGUUACUCUUAGUUUAGCUUACAAAAGUGGUUUCGAACUUGUGGUAAUAUGAAUUUUAACUUCAACAACUAUACAUUACAUGCAGUACGGCAAAUAAAGCGGACUAUUGAUAUUUUCUGCCCACGAAAGUAAAAUAAUUUGAAAUAAAAAAAAGAAAUAUAAAUAUUUUAUAUGAAUCAC